rnacentral:lncRNA from 1 species
UUUGGAAUUUGCAUGGGUGAUGGUACUAGAAUGGUUGAAUCAUGGAGAGCAAGUUGAGAGACCAGAGACCAUCGUAUCCAAAAGAUGCACCGAGAGUUGGACCACAACACGUGGAACUCUCCACAGAACACAAGAGGAUGUUUAUUUUCCUUGAGGUUUUUAAUAUCCAGAGGAUUAAAAACAGCAUGCUGAACAAGGGAGAGAGCUCAUCCUGCAAGCGGGCAGAGGCGAGGGCAUGAAGAUGUACAACUGUCCCAAGUGUGAAUUGAGUACACAGACCCCCACCCCCCCCAGGACCUGCCGUUUUUUAUCCCGCUGAAGGAGAGCGGCGAGAGUCAUCACCGAUGCUUCAACAUGCCUAUAGAUGUAGGUACAUCAUCAUUUACUCCGAGCAGCACACUGAGCAACAAACACAAGAACCAUGGGAAAUAAGAUAAAAAAGUGGAAAGGACAAUGAAUAUACUUUGAAAAACCUGUUUUACCAACAGUGUGAUAACAGAACUGCUUCCAUUCAAUACCAAAAUAAGGUCUCAGAUUUUCUGAUAUAUGGACACCUUGCUGUUUAUA